rnacentral:rRNA from 1 species
CAUGCUGGAGGUAUCAGAAGUGCGAAUGCUGACAUAAGUAACGAUAAAGCGGGUGAAAAGCCCGCUCGCCGGAAGACCAAGGGUUCCUGUCCAACGUUAAUCGGGGCAGGGUGAGUCGACCCCUAAGGCGAGGCCGAAAGGCGUAGUCGAUGGGAAACAGGUUAAUAUUCCUGUACUUGGUGUUACUGCGAAGGGGGGACGGAGAAGGCUAUGUUGGCCGGGCGACGGUUGUCCCGGUUUAAGCGUGUAGGCUGGUUUUCCAGGCAAAUCCGGAAAAUCAAGGCUGAGGCGUGAUGACGAGGCACUACGGUGCUGAAGCAACAAAUGCCCUGCUUCCAGGAAAAGCCUCUAAGCAUCAGGUAACAUCAAAUCGUACCCCAAACCGACACAGGUGGUCAGGUAGAGAAUACCAAGGCGCUUGAGAGAACUCGGGUGAAGGAACUAGGCAAAAUGGUGCCGUAACUUCGGGAGAAGGCACGCUGAUAUGUAGGUGAAGUCCCUCGCGGAUGGAGCUGAAAUCAGUCGAAGAUACCAGCUGGCUGCAACUGUUUAUUAAAAACACAGCACUGUGCAAACACGAAAGUGGACGUAUACGGUGUGACGCCUGCCCGGUGCCGGAAGGUUAAUUGAUGGGGUCAGCGCAAGCGAAGCUCUUGAUCGAAGCCCCGGUAAACGGCGGCCGUAACUAUAACGGUCCUAAGGUAGCGAAAUUCCUUGUCGGGUAAGUUCCGACCUGCACGAAUGGCGUAAUGAUGGCCAGGCUGUCUCCACCCGAGACUCAGUGAAAUUGAACUCGCUGUGAAGAUGCAGUGUACCCGCGGCAAGACGGAAAGACCCCGUGAACCUUUACUAUAGCUUGACACUGAACAUUGAGCCUUGAUGUGUAGGAUAGGUGGGAGGCUUUGAAGUGUGGACGCCAGUCUGCAUGGAGCCGACCUUGAAAUACCACCCUUUAAUGUUUGAUGUUCUAACGUGGACCCGUGAUCCGGGUUGCGGACAGUGUCUGGUGGGUAGUUUGACUGGGGCGGUCUCCUCCUAAAGAGUAACGGAGGAGCACGAAGGUUGGCUAAUCCUGGUCGGACAUCAGGAGGUUAGUGCAAUGGCAUAAGCCAGCUUGACUGCGAGCGUGACGGCGCGAGCAGGUGCGAAAGCAGGUCAUAGUGAUCCGGUGGUUCUGAAUGGAAGGGCCAUCGCUCAACGGAUAAAAGGUACUCCGGGGAUAACAGGCUGAUACCGCCCAAGAGUUCAUAUCGACGGCGGUGUUUGGCACCUCGAUGUCGGCUCAUCACAUCCUGGGGCUGAAGUAGGUCCCAAGGGUAUGGCUGUUCGCCAUUUAAAGUGGUACGCGAGCUGGGUUUAGAACGUCGUGAGACAGUUCGGUCCCUAUCUGCCGUGGGCGCUGGAGAACUGAGGGGGGCUGCUCCUAGUACGAGAGGACCG